rnacentral:tRNA from 3 species
GGAGAGAUGCCGGAGUGGUCGAACGGGGUAGUCUCGAAAACUACUGUGCCCUUACGGGUACCCAGGGUUCGAAUCCCUGUCUCUCCGCCA